rfam:Triticum aestivum genome assembly, contig: Triticum_aestivum_CS42_TGACv1_scaffold_098221_2AL
CUUGUACUCCCUCCGUCCGAAAAUACUUGUGAUUGAAAUGGAUGUAUCUAGAUGUAUUUUAGUUCUAGACACAUCCAUUUUGAUGACAAGUAAUUCCGGAUAGAGGGAGUACUUG